CCCCCUGUAGCUCAAUCGGUUUUCAAAUUUUGAAGUGACGAAAAGAGCAUUGGUCUUAUGAGCCAAAGGUUGCGAGUUCAAGCCUCGCCUGGGGGA